ACCAAAUUCUUUAAAGAAAAGUCUUGACAUAAAUUCAAAAAUUAUAGUCUCAUUAUAUUCUGAAUGUGCAAAAUUAUGGCACAGCAGUGAGAGGAGCUGAUGACUCAGAGGACAGACAGCCAGAGUCUGUGACGUCACCAAUACCGCAGCCUUGCCUGUGUUUACUUAACAUUCAUAAACACCCGCACGAGGAACACAAAACAGCUGAACCAAGACAUCUCUACACAGAUUGUUUGUCAACUUGGAUGAAAAAGGCAUCUUUUUGUUUUCCACAGAAACCUGUUACAAUUCAUUUUCCACACAUGGCUUUUUCCACUACAAAAAAAAUUAUUUUAUCAUAUUUGAUUCAAGGCAACCGUGCCUAGUGUGAGUAUACCCUAAAAGUUCUCCUAAAUAGCAGCACAAAUUAUUUGCUAAGAGUUUCCUCUUAAACCCAUUCACAAAGCUUAAACCCAUUCAGGGCACUGGAUGGCAGGGUUACACCCCUACUCUUUUUCGAAGGACAUCCUGGGAUUUGUAAUGACCACAGAGAGACAGGACCUUGGUUUAAUGUCUCAUCCAAAAGACAGAAUGUACAUUAUGUGAAAAAAGAAUAUAUAUAUAUAUAUUCAGGUGGACUAUGAGUCAUACACACACACCCAUCUACAUCGCUGAGCUGUAGUGGAGCGUGUGUAGAGUUUCAAGUUCCUUGGCAUCCACAUUUCUGGUGACCUUACCUGGUCCAAUAACACCUCCACCCUGGUCAAAAAGGCCUUUACUUCUUACGUAG
rnacentral:lncRNA from 1 species